AGUUCAGAUUGCAGGCUGCAACCCGCCUGCAUGAAGUUGGAAUUGCUAGUAAUCGCGGAUCAGCAUGCCGCGGUGAAUACGUUCCCGGGCCUUGUACACACCGCCCGUCACACCAUGGGAGCCGGUAAUACCCGAAGUCAGUAGUCCAACCUCGUGAGGACGCUGCCGAAGGUAGGAUUGGCGACUGGGGUGAAGUCGUAACAAGGUAUC
rnacentral:rRNA from 1 species